UAGGGAAUAUUGGUCAAUGGAGGAGACUCUGAACCAGCCAUGCCGCGUGCAGGAAGACGGCCUUAUGGGUUGUAAACUGCUUUUGAUAGGGAAGAAAACGGCCAUGCGUGGCUAAUUGACGGUACCUAUAGAAUAAGCACCGGCUAACUCCGUGCCAGCAGCCGCGGUAAUACGGAGGGUGCAAGCGUUGUCCGGAUUUAUUGGGUUUAAAGGGUGCGUAGGUGGCUUUUUAAGUCAGUGGUGAAAUUCUGCAGCUUAACUGUAGAACUGCCAUUGAUACUGGAGAGCUUGAGUAUUGUUGAGGCAGGCGGAAUUUAUGAUGUAGCGGUGAAAUGCAUAGAUAUCAUAAAGAACACCGAUAGCGAAGGCAGCUUGCUAAACGAUAACUGACACUAAUGCACGAAAGCGUGGGUAGCGAACAGGAUUAGAUACCCUGGUAGUCCACGCCGUAAACGAUGUUAACUCGAUGUAUGCGAUAUACUGUAUGCGUCCAAGCGAAAGCGUUAAGUUAACCACCUGGGGAGUACGCUCGCAAGAGUG
rnacentral:rRNA from 1 species